rnacentral:rRNA from 1 species
UGCCAGCCGCCGCGGUAAUACUAGCGGUCCAAGUCGCAGCCAUUUUUAUUGGGUCUAAAACAUCCGUAGCUUGCUUGAUAAGUUUCUUGUGAAAUUUUAUGUCUCAAACAUGAAGCGUGCAAGAAGUACUGUCAAGCUAGAGACUGGUAGACGUAAGAAGUACGUUCAGAGUAGCGGUAAAAUGUGUUAAUCCUGGACGGACUCACAAAGCGAAGGCAUCUUACGAGGACAGUUCUGACAGUAAGGGAUGAAGGCUAGGGGCGCAAAACGGAUUAGAUA